rnacentral:rRNA from 1 species
CGCUGGCGGCGUGCUUAACACAUGCAAGUCGAACGAUGAAGCCCUUCGGGGUGGAUUAGUGGCGAACGGGUGAGUAACACGUGGGCAAUCUGCCCUUCACUCUGGGACAAGCCCUGGAAACGGGGUCUAAUACCGGAUAAUACUCCUGCCUGCAUGGGCGGGGGUUGAAAGCUCCGGCGGUGAAGGAUGAGCCCGCGGCCUAUCAGCUUGUUGGUGGGGUAAUGGCCCACCAAAGCGACGACGGGUAGCCGGCCUGAGAGGGCGACCGGCCACACUGGGACUGAGACACGGCCCAGACUCCUACGGGAGGCAGCAGUGGGGAAUAUUGCACAAUGGGCGAAAGCCUGAUGCAGCGACGCCGCGUGAGGGAUGACGGCCUUCGGGUUGUAAACCUCUUUCAGCAGGGAAGAAGCGAAAGUGACGGUACCUGCAGAAGAAGCGCCGGCU